ensembl:lncRNA
GGGAGAGGCUGUGUACUGAGUCCCUGCCCAGUGGGUACACAGUCACACAGCGAUGCACUGUCGGUUGUUAUCCAUUGCCUGGGGCAACACUGCUGUUGAAUUGCUGAUGGUGGCUGGUCCUGACAGAGAGUGAAGACCUGCAGUGUUUGGAUUCUUAGGAAGCCCAUUACCAUCUGGGAGCAGGAGGCUCCGGGACAUAAGAGGAGGGACAUUAAGAAGAAGGGAUGACAAAGAUAAAGAGGCAACUUUGGAACAAGUUGACUGUGAAGACUCUGUGAAAAUGUCUACAUGAAAUGUCUUGUAAGCAGUUCAGUGUACUGAUCUGGAGCUCAAGAGAGAAAACAGACCUGGAGAUUCAGGCUGGGAACCCAGAGCCUCAUAUGCUUCCCCAUCCCACUGCUGGAGGGACCUGAAACCUCUGGGCUCCGCUGCGGGGUGCCACUCACCUCUUCACAGAUGUGGCGUGUGUUUCAUUACAGAAGCCUACACUAAAGGAGAAGUGAUGUAAUCCACACAUCUGCAGAAUAUAAACUGUUAAGUACCUGCUCAGCAAAGUAAAACACAAGUGAGGAUCUAAUUUUUUUGCCUGAGAUGAUAGCCGGAGGAAGAUCACAUUGGGAAAAGGAACCUUGAUCCUCACAUAUCCUGCCAUGAGAAUACUCUGUUCUAAGCAAGGUGACCUUUAAAGGAAGUUUUGGGAAUUAUUUAUUUAAUCCGGUGACACUACUAAAAACAUUAAUGAAAGUAAGGAAAUUGUUGGUUCGUUUUAUGCUUCUUCUAAUGAAUCUCUGCUUUUUCUAUAAGUCUUUCCACUUUGUGUGGUAGGAGGAAUAUGGUAAUGAAUAUUUUUGGAUACCAAAUAAAUAAAAAGGAAGAUGCAAGGUGUACACUGGCCUUACAAUAUGCUGUUUACCUAGUUAUGAUAUAAAAAUCUAUUAUUAUAAUAUUUCUGGUUCCACUGAGAAAGAAUUGAUACUCACUCACUAUAUUUAUAUGUAUAUUCCUUUCAACAUUUUUGUGUUUUAUUUUCUAGUUUAUUAGAUUUUUAAUAGCAAAAGUAAUAAUGCUUGUUCAAGAAGUCAAACACUACAGACAUGUAUAUAUGAAUAUAAAUGUCCCAUACCUCCCUUCAAUUUUAUCUCCUAUGUAUUUCAAAUAGCCUUUUUUAAAAAUUUAAGAACAAAACAUGUCCAUUCUAAAACAUUUACAAAAGUAGACAAGCAAAAGAAGUGAGUCACACAUAGUCUCCCAUUCUGGUGUAACCACUGUUAAUAUUUUGGUGUAGAUCUUUCAAACUUUUCCCAAUAUGUGUAUUUAUUAAAAAUGGACUUACUUUUUGCAACUUAUCUUUUUUGCUCACUAAUGUCUUGUGGGCAUUCUUCUGUAUCAAUACAAUGGAAAAUCUUGUAUUUCCAAAACAUGAUAUGUAACAUGCGCCACAGUUGAUGCGUGGGAUGAUUUUUUGGUGUUACAUGAACACACCUUAAACAUUUUUAAUGGCUGCAUUUUUUGUUUGUGAGUAAUUGAAAAAAUAUAACUAGUACAGGGAGUCUGUAAUUUUUCAGAUACUGUUGCUUGUGACAAGGCUAAAGAAGGCAGCACUGUAAUAAUCAACUUUAUGAAGAGUGUGGAUUACUGUGCGAUCCUUAGUCGUCCCCAUGAAUGUCUCAGAUAAAACUUAUAAUUCUUGGACUUGAUGAGUGGUGCUCAACCCUCUCAGAUCCACUGUUCCCUUUUAAUGCAAAGUUUUAACACCCCUUUUCCAAUCCUGAAAUAAUAAUCCUAGAUAGCCAACCUAUGUAUAAUUUAAUAAAAAUCAAUAUAAUGUCCUAUCCUGGAUAAAAAGGAGACACAAAAGAAAAUAACACGUUUAAAGGAAUAUAUAUUUCAAUGAAUUAAAUGCUUGGGCUUGGCUACCAUGGAGGACCUAACGGGAGAUUUGCUGAGAACAUGAAGCUGCAAGUACAGACAGAUACAGAUGAAUUUCAUGGUGACUCAAAUACCACCAGCAGCACGGCCAUUGGUGAUGCUGAUUUUCCAAAACUGUGAACAACUUUUGGUACAUUUCUGAACAAAAUAAAACAUGGUCUUCCCUGAUGUACAAAGGAGCUGCUUUUCUGGAAAAAAUCAACAUAUAUUAAAGUUGUGCAAAAAUUUUGCUUUUAUGUGUUAAAUGGAUUUAGGUCUGGCUUAGGUAAUUCUGAAUUAAGAAUAUAUUUAGGUCUAGCUCAGUAGGUUUUUCAUGGACUUGGAUUUUCUAUAAGACAUUUAAAGUCACGUGGAAUUACCCAUCAAUUCCUGGUCGUAUAGGACCAUGCCUGGCAUUCUAGGCUGUCUAAAAUUUCUGACCCAUUUACCCAAAAAAGCCAGUAGUACCUCCAACCCCUGAUUAUUGCAACAACCAAAAACGUCCACAAAUUUCUAAAAUGAUUCCUAGGCAGUAGCACAGUUCCUGAGAACCAUUAGUGAAAAUUGCACAGAUGGCUGUGGAUUCUCGUAUACUGACUGUCUGUAUGAUACUUACGCUCUUUUCUGAGGUACAUCAAAGGGUCACUUUUGGAAGCUGACAAUUAUUUAGUAUGCAAGGUAUGUAUAAAUAUACAUAACUGCGAUUUGGAAUCAGACAUGCACUUCAUUUCUUUUCCUUAUUGAGCCUGUUGUACAUCAGUCAGCGGAAAAAGAGAUUUUUAAUGCAGAAAGGUGAAGUUUGUGACAGAUAUAAAGGGUAUUAAUUGUGAUUUGAUUAAAUCAGCCAUGUUUUUUGCUGGGUAUCAGGACCAAAUCAAUGCAUUAAUGUCAUUACUCUGUAUUUGUUUUUAUGGUUAUCUGACACCUAAGGUGAAUUAUACUGUAUUUUCACUUACAUAGUGUGAAAAAAUUACCUUUAAAUACUCUUAUUUCAGUAAAACAUGUGAGUUAAUUUAAAGGAAAAUGUUAAGUAGAUAUUAGUGCAGAUGGCAAUAUUCCAAAGAUG